CACAGCUGAAGCGUAUAUUCUUACAUUUAAAAAGCGUACAUAAUUUAGGACCUUUUCUGGAGCUACUUUUGCACGAAAUAAUUUUAAAAGGACCAUUUUUGAUGAUAACUCAAGGCCAUCGCUAACUGCAUCGUAGGUCACGGAUAACAAGGUUCCUUGCCAGUUUGAUGAAAAGUCUUUGUUGUGGUGCCAUAUUACUCCUUCCUAAUAUGAGCUGCAGAGAAUCCUGGAGCUCAUAAUGAAAAAUCAUCUUCUGCCUCACACAUACACACACACACACACACACACACACACGCCUCCAGAGCUAACAGCUGGACACAAUAAACAA